rnacentral:rRNA from 1 species
AGGCAGCAGUGGGGAAUAUUCCGCAAUGGACGAAAGUCUGACGGAGCGACGCCGCGUGGAUGAAGAAGGCCGAAAGGUUGUAAAGUUCUUUUGUUGGGGAAGAAUAACCAUGGGAGGGAAUGCCCGUGGGAUGACAUGAACCGACGAAUAAGCCCCGGCUAACUACGUGCCAGCAGCCGCGGUAACACGUAGGGGGCGAGCGUUGUUCGGAAUUACUGGGCGUAAAGGGCAUGUAGGCGGUCUUGUAAGCUUGGCGUGAAAGACCACGGCUCAACCGUGGGAUUGCGUUGAGAACUGCGAGGCUUGAGUGACGGAGAGGGAGCUAGAAUUCCUGGUGUAGGGGUGGAAUCUGUAGAGAUCAGGAAGAAUACCAAUGGCGAAGGCAAGCUCCUGGCCGAUGACUGACGCUGAGGUGCGAAAGUGUGGGGAUCAAACAGGAUUAGAUACCCCGGUAG